rnacentral:pre_miRNA from 1 species
AAGAACGGCAAAGGUCCGUCGUCCACUUACAUCUUGGAGUACUGCAUCUUCAGAUCUGUUGCACGUUCACUGCCUGUUUUACCAGCCUCCAUGAACCAUUUGAAUUUGGGCUUCUCUAACGGAGGGAAUCAUGAAGAAUGCUGGUUUGAUAACAGCGCUAAACCUGCGUACAAAGAUGAAGAUGCUUUUCUCCGAGAAGUGCAUGGGCGACGGUCCACAUCUAGCGC